AGUCAGUAUGGCCCUUACACCCGGGGCUGCACACGUGCUACAAUGGCCGGUACAAAGGGCAGCGACAUAGUGAUAUGGAGCGAAUCCCCAAAACCGGUCUCAGUACGGAUUGGAGUCUGCAACUCGACUCCAUGAAGAUGGAAUCGCUAGUAAAUGGGCAUCAGCUACGGCUCAUUGAAUACGUUCCCGGGCCUUGUACACACCGCCCGUCACAUCAUGGGAGCUGAGUUCACCCGAAGUCGUUGCGCCAACCUGCUUGCAGGAGGCAGACGCCGAAGGUGGGCUUAGUGACUGGGAUGAAGUCGUAACAAGGUAGCCGUUGGGGAACCAGCGGCUGGAUCACCUCCUUUUUAAGGAA
rnacentral:rRNA from 1 species